AGGGACUUAAAUAGUGGUUUAGAAGAUGAGACCCCCCUCUCUGAGAGGUCCCCAUCCGCUCCAUGCCUCCCCUCUCCGGGAAUGGCCGCCGCCCCCUCUGUCUCCGGUGCGCCGGCAUCGACUGCCAGCAGGGUGGGGGUCACCCUUCCCUGUCGGUCUUAUCCCUUCGUUUUUUUUUUUUAAUAAUAAUCAUUAUACUGGCUACAGUAAAAUUUGGGCCCAACCCUUAACUGGGCCUAUUUUUCUAUUGGGCCUAGUAGGUUGUGGGCCCGGACAUUACA
rnacentral:lncRNA from 1 species